UCCUAAUGAAUUUUCAAUCGCACUUCCUCAUCUAGGUACCGCUUCACCUGUCAGCUUACAUCACACUCUCACCAAGUCUCUCGGGGUUAAAGUGUUUUCACUCCUAAUUCAUAAUAUGCAAUAUCAACUCAUAAGUUUGAAUAGUUUCUCCUUUCAUAUCAUUCACCUGUCAGCUUACAUCACACUCUCACCAAGUCUCUCGGGGUUAAAGUGUUUUCACUCCUAAUUCAUAAUAUGCAAUAUCAACUCAUAAGUUUGAAUAGUUUCUCCUUUCAUAUCAACUACACACAACACACAGUUUUUGAGGUCUUUCGGGUUGUAACGGGGUUUGGGUUAUGGUGUGGAUAUUCCAAAUAAAACGGAAAACAAAUGGUUUUUGGUUCAGAGUCAAUGUUACUAUUAUUUUUACUGUGUUUGUUCAUUUUCCUUCUUUUCCUCUAUUAUUUUUUUAUUGCUCUGGUUUUUCUUUGUUAUUCUUGUUUUUCAACCGAGUGCCCUUCUUUGGCCAUUGCUUAUUUUGAACCCUCGAGUUUAUUUUCUUUUCUCUUUUUUUUCCCGAUGAUUCUCUCUUUUUU
rnacentral:lncRNA from 1 species